GCUGACUCUCUUUUCAGACUCAGCCCACUUGCACCCAAGUGAAUUAACAGCCUUGUUGCUCACACAAAGCCUGUUUAGGUGGUCUUCUAUACGGACAUGCUUGACACUUGGUGCCAAAAUCUGGGCCAGGGGGACUCCUUCGUGAGACCGGCCCCCUGUCCUGGCCCUCAUUCCGUGAAGAGAUCCACCUGCGACCUCGGGUCCUCAGACCAGCCCAAGGAACAUCUCACCAAUUUCAAAUCGGAUCUCCUCGGCUUAGUGGCUGAAGACUGAUGCUGCCCGAUCGCCUCAGAAGCCCCUUGGACCAUCACAGAUGCCGAGCUUCGGGUAACUCUUACGGUGGAGGAUUCCCAGCCAUAUGAAGACACCCUAGCUGGACGAUCAGUCCUUGUCAAAAGUCUGACCCCUCAAACUCUACAGCCUCAAUGGACCAGACCCUACCCGGUCAUUUAUAGCACACCAACUGCCGUCCAUCUGCAGGACCCUCUCCAUUGGGUUCACCAUUCCAGAAUAAAGCCAUGCCCAUCAGACAGCCAGCUUGAUCUCUCCUCUUCCUCCUGGAAGCCACAAGAUUAGGCCGAGAGCCGAUCAGACAAACAACCUACAACCCUUAAGCUCCUGGCAGCGCCCAGCCAAGGCCAUGCUUCCUUGCAACACUCCUUCCAAAUGGCCAUCCCAGCAUGCUUCCAAGCAGGCUUCAUCCGUUCCUCUGGACCCUCAUCUCUUAAGACCUGCCGCCUAUAAAAAGGAUUAUAUCUUGAGACCCUAUCCUCUAAAAUUUUUUCCACACCCAAAACAAAAAAUCUCUGGGUCAAAAGUCUAAAACGCUUAGGCUGGCAACCAUCAGAUCCUUGCCCAUGGUGUCCUCAAGCCUACUCUCAUGAAAUGGACAACAGUACACGCAUAUGGGGCCAGUUCCACAUAUUUGGCAACCAGACCAGCAUCCAGGACAACACAAAACCGCCACUCACACCUAUGGGAAAAGGGUAAUGUAUCAUCGGCUUAGCAACAGGGAAUACUAUUCGUAUGAUGGAAAAUGGGGACAAAAGGCUUUGGUACAUAAAACAUUAUUCCUUCCUUGGCCUAAAAACUCAUCGCCACCUACAUUAAAGCUAAUAUGCC
rnacentral:lncRNA from 1 species